rfam:Nitrospirae bacterium RBG_13_39_12 RBG_13_scaffold_77, whole genome shotgun sequence.
GUAAUAAAAUUAAGGCUUAGCAUCUAAACUCAUAUUGGCUGAAAGUCAGGGAAGAGGAGUGAAGCCAUUCAGGUAAUUCUCCCGCUGCCCCGCAGCCGUAAAGGGAACGAAAGCCCAGUACAAGCCACUGUCCCGAUGUAUCAGGAUGGGAAGGCGGGCAAGUAGGCAGCCCUUAGCCGGAAAACCUGUUCAGCCGGGAAAACUCAC